UGUGAAUUGCAACUUCAGAUAUUUAUAUGACUCCAUAGAUGAGAAAAGUCAUCUGCAUUUCUUAUUCCAAUUUAUUCUCUCUGAAAGAUGACAUCAAUCAGGAAUCAUCAUGUGAAAUUAUAUCUCAGGUCUUUCGAAUCUGAACUGCCGUGGUGAAAAGCAUGGAACAUAGUAUACUGGAGUCACUUUCCAUUGUGUGUUUGUUUGCUUUAUUUCAGAGGAAGUUCCAGGAGUAGCAAUUCACAGGAUCUAUUUUCUCAUUAGAUGAGAAUACUGGUGCCAAUGCUGUUUCUUUGAUGUGUGCUUUUCAUUUUACACUGCAAGCUAUCUCUACACAUGUUACAAGCAUUCAUGUGAAAAUGGGUGCAAUUGUUGAUUCCCCCAAUAGAAUUUUUUAUUGAUUUUAAGUAAGCAAGAACAGUUCAAAUAUUGUAAACAUUCCAAGCCUCAGAUGUAACUAGUAGACAUUUCACUUACGUAGAUCAUAUAUUGAGUGCCUAAUCAUAUAGACAACUCUAAAUAAAAUUUCUAGGUAAGUUAUUGAUUAACAUUCUGCCACCUUGUGCACACAGAUGCGCAAACUGCAUACUCAUUGAUCAAUCCUAUUGCCCCCCCCCAAGUCUACCUGAAAAACUUAGCAUGUGAAGAGAUUUGAGUUGGUUGUUCCAGCUCAACUGUAUGGCUGAACUUUUGCCACUUUGUAACUAGCCUAAGUAUUACUUCCUGUGCAACUUUUCUGAAGCGCAUGAACCAGACCUUUGAAGAGUUUGUAAGUAAGCCAUUUUUUUUCUACUCUGGAGGAAGUGGGAAACUUUGGAGGGAACUUUGAAGGGCAUAUUUCAAAGGUCUAACAUCCUAUACUUCCACAAUUUACUUUGCUGUAUAUUUUGUGACUUUAAAUUACUGUACUGCUGGGAUUCUCUCGCCAAGAAUACUUGUCCCAAAGUUCGAUCUUGGCCUCCAGGGAAUCCUUCCUUCCUUCCUUCCUUCCUAACCAACCAACCGACCAACCUGCUUUUCUCUAUGUCACACAGAGAAAUGCAGAAGAGUGGUUUCACCCCUCAUCUGCAUCAGUAGAUGUCUAGCAACUAUCAGUUGCCAUCAUGGUCCACCAAUGCUCGUUUAAGAAAACAUCCAUGGCCAUCUGUCAUAGAUGCUUUAGUUUAGAUCAGGGGUCGGCAACCUAAGGCUCAUGGGCCACAACUGGCCCAUGGGGGUUGUUUAACCGGUCCAUGGACCCCCGCUGCCUGCUCAGUCAGCUCCUGUGCGCUGCGCUAAACCAGUGUGGAGCAGAGCGGGGAACCACCUUCCGCGAUGCCGGCUGGCUUCCCAAGCUGUGCACGCCUCCUCCGUGCCAGAAGGAGUGCUGGAAAUAGCGUUUGUGCAUGUGUGUGUGUGUGUGCGUGCACACACUCCGGCUCACCUUGGCGUCUGCGGGACCGUGAACCUGCCCAAGCCACAAAAACUUUGCCGUCCCCUUGUUUAGAUUCCUUCAUUGCUGGUCAAAUCAGUUAUCAUCAAAUGGGCACAAGAUAUAGGGCACAAUAUACAAUUUGAAUAUUGGGAAAAGCUGUGGAAAGUGGAUGUGAAAUUUACAGAUUGUUCUCUUUUGAAAGAAAAUUAUAUGAAAAUGAUGUGUAGAUGGUAAAUCACACCAGUACAAAUAGCAAAAAUGUACAAAACCCGGUCAAAUAUAUGUUGGAAAUGUAAAGAAAAAGGUACUAUGUAUCAUAUGUGGUGGGAAUGUAGAGAAGUUAAAAAAAAUUGGGAAAUGAUAUAUAAUGAAUUGAAAAAAAAUGUUUUAAAUGACAUUUGUAAAGAAACCAGAAGAUUUUUUUUUAGGAAUUUCAGGAUGAGACCUGACAAGAAAAACAAAGAAUUUAUUUAUGUAUGCCACAACAACAACAAGAGUCUUGUUAACACAAGGAUGGAAGAAGGAGGAAAUCCCAACGAAAGAACAAUGGCAAGAAAAACUGAUGAGUUAUGCAGAGUUGGCAAAGUUGACACAUAAACUAUGUGAGAAGGACAAUCGUGACUUCAAGGAAGAUUGGGAACUUUUUACAAACUAUUAAAAAAAAAACACAAAAUGACUUGGACUCCUUGGCAGGUUUUGAAUAAACACCCACAAAAUUAUUAAUAGAAUAUAUGACAGAUAAAGUAAUGAUAUGUACAAUUUUUAACAUGAAGAGAAUAAUAUGUGUAAACAAAUCAGAGAGGGGAGCUGAGGGAAGUCUUUGGUGGGGAGGUGAGGGAGGGAUGGGGAAUAAAAAGGGGGUGUGUGUAAUUGAUUAUUUGGAUUGAUAAUUUGUUUUGUUGAAAUUGUUUAAUAAAAAUAUAUUUAGAUUCCUGCAUUGCAGCAACUUGAAUGAGAUGACACUUGGUGUCCCUUCCAACUCUUCAGUUCUAUGAUUUUAUGAUCUCUUCCAGCCACAUGCAUCCAUAGAGCAAGGCAUUUAGCUGUUAGAUAUUCAGAAGCCUUGGGAUUACUAAUUCUUCCCUUGUCAUGGCUCAAUCACAGCCCUGUUACAUCAUGUAUGCCUUGACAGAAGUCACAGAAAAGCAUCAGCCGUCCAUUACAAUUUCUCACAUACCAUAAAUGAGAUCUACCUCUUUGAUGUCAACUUCCCAUGUCUCAUUUGGCAGAUUUGUCAUAUUAUCAGGACUUCAAUUGACCCACGGUUUCCCAUUCAACUUUGGGGCUUGUGAAGUAGGAAUAGCUUAUAAAUAUGUACCAAGUACUAUUUCCAGCACUAAGGGCUGCUUCAGACUGUGGUCUUUGCCUGUUCUUUUUAAAAUGUCUGUACAGGGGGAGAGUUAAUAGGUAGACCAAUAGAAAAGUCAGAGGUGGAGCCUACCUGUUUAUAAAAGGGCUUAGCCCGAGGAUUGGGUUGGUUGGGUUUAGUUAGUUGGUUGGUUGGGAAAAGGCAGUUGGGAAAGCAGUUGGCAGACAGUUGGAAUUAGAGAGACAGUUAGUGCAGUUGGUUUUUGUGGGAGGGGAGGUAGAAGAGUUAGAGACAGGAUAAAAAUAAGACUAAGAAGGUAAAGAGUAACAACAUUUUGAAUGCAGUUAAAGUUUAUUUGUGUCUGCAAUAAACUGCACUCUUCUUUGUUAACUUAAGAACCUGACUGAGACUAAGUGAUUUACCGGGGAGGACCUGGUUGGUGGCAGCGGAUUAGUGGUGUACGGGUCAAUAGUCCACGAGACGACUGGGGGCUCCAUACGAAUGCCACACAGACAUUCAAAAUACCUGCUCCAUCUUGACUCUUCUGAGGCAUGUAUUUGUUCAUGAAUUACACCAGGUUACAAGGGUCAUUGCAGUGAUUUCCACAACUGUGGCAAUACGUUUAUCAGUCACCAUAAUAAUAGGAACUGCUUGAAGGAAGCGGCAUUUAUAUUCCUGGACAAUCCCAGUCCAUGGGAUGUAUCAGCAGAGACUGCCUGGUCUUCAAAACAUAUUGCAUGGAUGAGUUUUUUUAUAUAUAAAAAAGUUUGAAUCAGACUGAUUUUCAAUACAAUAAGUAAACAUUAUAAUUAUAAUGAGUGAGGAAGCAUUAGGCACGCACCUCCUAUGUAAAAUAAUAAUAAUAAUGGAAACAUUAUUGAUAUGUGGGUGUCUUCUCAUUACCAAGGCCAGAUUCAAAGGAAGGAAUGUCAAAGUUCAAGAAAAAGAAGAGAAAACAAGGGAGAGAUGAUGAUGGAGGUGGAGAGGAUCUUUGAUAACUGGCUCUUUGGUGUACAGAGCAUUCAUAGGGGUGGUGCAAUUGGCUGAAUUUAAGUGGAGAUGAGUGGAGCCAAGUUGUUGAGGUUGGUGCUAAGAGCUUAGACAGUGUUUGGUGACUCUGUUGCAAUGGACUAAAGUGAAGUCUUUUGCCAACAGAGCAUUAUAGGGCACUGAGUCUUGUUAAGACACUGAGAGGCCCAGGGCAAAAUGCUUAUUUGAGGGCCCCUCCCUGAAAUCCCACAGCACAAUCCCACAGCACUUUGUGUCAGUUUCAUUUCCCCCUCAGCUGGAAAAAAUAUAUAUAAUACUUGGAAAAAACCCCAGCUAUAUUUGACAUCAGAAUAUUAACAUUUUAUGACUAAAGUUAAAGAAAAUAUUUACACAAAAUGACAAGCUGCAUUCAUAAUAUUUAAAAAGUCGUCUCAUCUUCUCCCCGCCUAGUUUUCUUGUCAACAAAUUCAGUGAUGAGAUUACCAAAAAAUAUUUCUCUCAGAAGAUCCCAAUCUAUAGAUAGAACAGAUAAUGAUGACUGUCUUGACUGUAGCUUUGUGGAAUGUAACUUAUUUUUUUUAAUAAAGACUAAUUUGGAGAAUGAUGUUUCUCCUUCAGCAUUCAAAAUUGGCAGAAUUAGAUAAAGGCUGAGAGCUAUGAUAGCAUCUGGGGAAGCUUCAACCAGAUCCUUAUUGUAAAUUAUCUUCAAAUGACUAUGUGCAGUAGUCUCAGAUCCAUCACACACCCCUGCAGUAUCUAAGAAAUGAAUAAAACAUUUUAGUUUAGAGGAUGGAAAAAUUUGCAGAUCAUUUGGGUAAGCUCUCACAAAGGCUUCUGCAUCCUUUUCCAGUGCACCAUUAUUUUGGGAAGAACUGUUCAGUUUUGCCAGGAAUCCAAAUAUAUUCACAGCUUCUAUGUAAGCACAGGAGAUUAUCUAACACACAGUAGUAUGCUUCCACCCUAAAUUUGUCUCUUCCUCUUUUGCAGUUACUUUUUUCCAUCUGAGAAAACAGAUCUGUGUCUCUGAAGAUACAGAUUCCACUUGAUUACUCAGUUUCUUUGCCUCCUCUUCAAAUUAUUCAAAGUUGUUCUGUAUAUCAACCUGGACACUGAGGUCCAGCUCCGAGGGCCUUCUGGCAGUUCCCUCACUGUGAGAAGCGAAGCUACAGAGAACCAGGGAGAGGGCCUUCUCGGUAGUGGGGGAAGAAGAAGACGAAGAAGAAGAGGAGGAGGAGGAGGAAGAAGAAGAAACAAUGAGAGAAACAGCAUUUCCCUCCCCUGACACAAUAUAAAGGGGCCUGGUUUUUGAAUUUUUUUGUGGACACAGUCAAAUCUGUGCAGGACUUUGUGCCAGAAUACAGCAUAAAAUAUAUUUCAAAUGUUUAAAAUUUCUUUACCAAAGAAAAUUUCUAACUUCUUACUUAAUCCACCUUUUCCCUUUAGAAUCAUUGGCAAUCUUUAGCAAGGCUUCCAUAUUACAGUCAUAAAAGAUGACAAGAGUUUGUGUAGCAUCUUCUCUACAGGACUAUCUUGUUUGAGACUGGUUUUUCAAUGUGUUUUUGGGUGUAUUCUUGUUAUCUGUGGAUCAUUGAUCAAUAUCGCCUUGAAGUAUUCUCCACCUGUGUUGGGCUAUCACACUAUUGCCUCGGGCUUAGAGGCUAGUGUUAGCUUCCAAAACACUCACAUUGCUUGUGGGGUCAGGCAAGUUCCCAGCACAUGUGCAGGGUGGAUGAAAGUUUCCAGCAGGUGGAAAAUUGGUGCUUGGAUUCCUACCAAACUCUGGUAAGGAAGCCUGUAACCAAUACGAAUUGUGGCCACUUCUAAUCCACACCAGUCUCCGCAUCGUUGUUGCUCCCAAACAACACACCUCGCUACAUGUGGCGACACAAUGAAUACACUUUAUUAUAUGCACUUGUUUCUGUGUUUAUAAGACGGCUGCAAUGGCAAAAAUUUAAAACUCUUGCCGCAACGUAAUUUACCAGGGAUUAAAUAUUGUGGGGUUUCGAAUAAACCAUCCAUUUUAUUUGCCCUGAUGGUGCCAAGCAAACCUUCCAUGCACUCUCCUUUGGAAAACAAAUUGCGUUCAGAGCUAUCAGAUUAAUGACGCUUAUAAAUAAAUAAGAAUCUUCCAUUUACUGUUAAUAGAAGACCAGCUGGCAUCCCACUGUUCAGCCGGAGGGGCAGGAGGUGCCGACAGAGAUUGGUGAUAGGUUGCCGAGUCAUUUUUCAUUUCCUCGCUGCUGCAGAACGCUUGCAAACGCUGCGAUGCAUAGAUCUCUUCCUGAAUGUUAGUUAUCACACUUGCCUAACAGAGAAAUAAGUAAUUAAAGUUUAAUAUGCAGCAUUUAGACUAUCUACAUCUCUCUGGAGGCUACUCAAAGGAAAUUUGGAAAGAAUGAAGCCAGGGUUUGUGUGUGUCUGUGUGUGUGUGUGUGUGUGUUUAAAUAAACCUAUUUGAUACCCAAUUCUGAUUUCGUCAGGUUUGUAUGGGAAAUUGAAUAGGAACCUCAAGGGGCAGGAGUCGCGUGGUUCCACUACGUUUCUGCUUAAUUAAACAGGACACAUGGAAAAUUGUAUACUUGCUCAGUGGAAAAUCUGUAGUUUUCAUUGAUUCAACAUGGGAGAUAACCAGGUUUGCACCGGUGGCUCUGACUACAAGAUGUACUUAUCUAGAGGAAGAUAUGCAACAUUUUGGACCUUACUUGCUUAUGUAACCUGGAGCUACUUCAGUUAAGUAGUUUUCUGUGCUUUGCAUCUGUUUAGCAUUGAAUUAUUAUGUACAACUGUACAACUUUCCCUCUACUGAGCCAUCACAGCCUACCAACUAUGACAGGGGGG
rnacentral:lncRNA from 1 species